GCGGUAGUAGCUCAGUUGGUAGAGUACGACCUUCCCAAGGUUGGGGUCGCGGGUUCGAACCCCGUCUGCCGCU
rnacentral:tRNA from 1 species